rnacentral:rRNA from 1 species
UACGGGGGGGCAAGCGUUGUUCGGAAUUACUGGGCGUAAAGGGCUCGUAGGUGGCCAACUAAGUCAGACGUGAAAUCCCUCGGCUUAACCGGGGAACUGCGUCUGAUACUGGAUGGCUUGAGUUCGGGAGAGGGAUGCGGAAUUCCAGGUGUAGCGGUGAAAUGCGUAGAUAUCUGGAGGAACACCGGUGGCGAAGGCGGCAUCCUGGACCGACGACUGACGCUGAGGAGCGAAAGCCAGGGGAGC